CAUUACAACGAAUUGCAGAGCUCUAUAAUUAGAAAUAUAACUCGUUAAUAUGAUCAGCAAUCAAUCAGUGACUUUAAGCCUUGUAUCCCAUUUGUCCUACUAUCUCAGCAAGCGAUCUACCAACGCUGUCAACGAGAAGAAAAAAAACCAACAGUGUCUUUUACGUACUGGGAUUUAAAAAUGUGUGUAAGACGCGGUAUUAAUGUCACUAUAUAGCUAACAGAGAAUUAAACGACGUUGUGUCGAUAUUUCAUCAUAGGCAUUCAAUAAGACAAACAGCACAAAGAUGAUCACCCUGGGGUUACCAUGGCAAUUUACAUAGUGUAGAUCUAAGUCGCUGUUAUUUGCUUUUGAUGUUGACAAUAUUUCCGUGGACUCAGUGCUGACUGGUCGCCGUUGCAUGUACAUAAGUUUUUACAGAUAUUGUUCUAAUAGUUGACCAUGGCCCGAGUACCUCACAUUCUGGUGGAGGAAGAAGACCUACUUACAUCGAAAGAACAUCAAGAAGAACGUCAGUGGAGCCAAUUUUUCCAAAAACAGAAAUCAGAAACACAGAAGAGGGAAUUAUCCUCAAGGGAGCGAAGAGCAAGAUCGGCCAGAAAAAUGAAGGAACUUAAUCAAAGAUGGCGGAAUCUGGAAUCGAGAAGAAUAGAGAGAGCGAACUCCGAGUUAGAGCGACUGUCAUCCACGUUAUCUGACACUCAGCUGUCAAAUGAAAGACAAUAUCCCGAUGGUGAUCAUUAGGACCAGUUCCUAAUGUGCUGUAUGAUAUUUAUUUACUUUUUUCGUUUCCCUUGGAACGAAACAACAUUUGAGAAUAUCAAUGUGACUGGCUUUGAUGUCGAAUUCGACUGACUACGUACUGCAACAUAAUCCAAUUCACAGAGAACAAAUCCCAGGUUUUCUUUAAAGAACAAAUUCCAGGAUUUCUUUAAGGGGUGGAUGGGGCGAUGCUGAUUUUUCCAAAAGUUGUGAGCAGUUUUACGCUUUUCAUUGGGAAAGAACCUAUUAUCUAGUUUUCAUUACGUUUGUACUAUUGGAAGUUCACUGUCCCUACAAGUUAUAUGAUAUUGUAAUUAUCACCGAAUAACUAACGUUCAACAAAUCACGUAUGAGACAAAGGACCAUGUAGAUCGCAUUAGCGUCUUGUACAUCAAUAUACUUCAAUUUUAUUGAACACAAAUGUUUACAACAUGAUAUUAGUUGUUUAACACAAUACUGUGAAAAAUUUAAAGAGGAAACCAUCUUAUCCCUUGAAACAGUAUCACGUGGUUCCUAUUAGACAGAACUUUGUGGUUCCAUUACAUCGUAUCAAAUGAUUCCAACCUGGGUGGGUUCCUUGAUAUCAUUCAACGUGAACACUCCCUGUGGGUUUAUUGUUGAACGUUGGAAACUAUACCGCAUGGCUUCUUUCUGCUGGAACCUCAUGGUAAACUAUACCGCAUGACUCUUCUGUGCCGGAACCUCAUGGAUCCCCGGAAAGCGUUUCACGUGACUAAUUCUGUCGGAUUCUCUUGAAGCAACUAAAACCAUAUUAUACUAUGCGUCCCUUUAGUGUCAGAACCCCGUGAAAGAUUCCAUUACUAACAAUUCAAUAAUCAGGCACUUCCAGUGAAACAUGCGUGUGCAUGUCAUAUUGGGUGCUGCUGUCGUUCAUAUUUCAAUGAACAGUGCAUCUUAUAUCUUACCAUUUUCAAUUUUAAGGCAUUAGCUCGUCAAAGAUUGCUGUGAUGUCUAAUUCUAUGCCUUACUCCUCCUAGGCACCUGGUCCUAGCUGCAAUAAUGUAGCCCUCUCCAAUUUUUUUGGGAGAGGAUUACAACUCCAUAGGAUCUCCGUAAUGGUGCAAAUGCGUAAAUGAUUCACUCCCGCAACAUUUUCGAUCAUUCUAAACAUUUGCUGACUUUCUUUACGUAAAUAAAAUGAUCAUGAUAUUCUAUGUUUCUUAGUCAUUAUAUAAAUUUACAACCUGCAACUUACGAUUUGUGAGGCUCUAUUCUACCGUUUUCAACAAUUUCGAUAUAUUCCAAUUUCUCAAUUCAUAUUUGUGUGCCAUGUUUGAUGUAUUGAAGUUUCAACUUCCGAUUGUCAAGUUAUUUACAUAUGCCAUAUAAGGUAGUAUUUACAUCAAUGGACACGUACGGAAGAGAAAGCUAUUUCGCCGGUAUUAAAAAGUUUUUGAUUUGAUAUCACGUUAAAAAACGAACAGCAGAGUGUAAAUUCUUUCUGCAACCAUAUGAUUUUCCUUUCUUUGUCGGAGUGGCUCGAGUAAGUACAUUUUUGCGCAGAUUGUCAAUGUUUAGGUUUUUCAGUAGAUCCACCUACGAGAUCUCGCGAUAACAAGCAUGGCGGAGCAGACGAAGAAUUGUGCAUGCUGUACAUGAUGUGUAAUGAAAAACAUCUGUAUUAGACAUGCCCAAGCACAAAGUUGGUACUCCUUUUGAUGUAAACAACAUUUGGGACUAUUACACGGAGCUUAUUAUCGGUUAUUUAUAAAAUUAAUUUGCACCAUUACGGACAUCCUAUGGAAUUGGAGCCCUAUCCCAAAAACGUCAGAAUAAAAAAAUCGGAUAGGACUACAUUAUUGCAGCUACCUGAUCCCACCUCUGGUGUGUCCAGGGGUCCGUAUUUGUCUAACUAUCUAUUUUGUAUUGCUUAUAGGAGUUAUGACAUUGAUCACUGUUCGUCAUCUUCACCUUUCAUUCAUGUAAAAUGCGCGUCAUUGUUAUUAAAUUCAUGAUAUUAAUUU